rnacentral:misc_RNA from 1 species
GCAACGCAAGCAAAAUACAUCCACUGCCAACUUCUAAUUAAUAUGAUACAAUUCUUUGCAAAGUCGUGCCUAGUGUUAUAAUCAAACAAACUCUCCCACCCAUUAGCAUAUACUACACGUUAUUACUUCUGGGCUGAAGCUCCACACUCUCAUUUCUAGCCCUAACGCCCUUGCUAAACAGUAACUCCAUCUCUUCCAAGGACCUGCCCUUGGUCUCUGGGAAAAGAAAAUAGAAGAAAAACCACCCAAUCACUGAUACACCAGCAAACAAGUAGAAGGCUCCACCUAUAGUAAUUGCUUUGUAUAGUGAAAUAAAACUCAUAGAGAUUGUAGCAUUCAUAAGCCUAUUAACAGCUACACCAAUGCUAUACCCUUGUGCUCUUAACUUCAAAGGGAAUAUCUCAGAGCUGUAAACCCAUGUCACAGGUGCAAGACCAAUAUUGUAAAAAGCCACAAGUACAUAUGUAGAAAUAAUGCUCAGGCUUAGAGCCCACAACAGGUUCUUUCCAUUGUGAUACUCCACUAUGGUCAAGCAAGAUCCUAAGACUGUUAUGGAAGCUACGAUUCCUGCUGUGCUUGUGAGCAAUAGGCGUCUCCUCCCAACUUUGUCGAUCAAAAAUGUGGCUAUGAAUAUAAAGACAAACUUUGUCAGCCCUACCCCAACUGUUGCAAGCAAGAGCUUUUCCUUGCCUGUGACACCAGCUUUCUUGAAGAUUCUUGGACUAUAUAGCACAACUGCUUCGAUGCCAACUGCGUGCUCGAAGAAAUGGAUUCCAAUCGCAGCGAUUAGUAUCCACCGGACUGCCGGUGUUGGCCUUAAUAGCAGCUCUUUCCAGACCCCUUCACCAUGAGUUUUCUUUGAAAACUUGACAAAAUCCUCAUUGCAAUUUUCAUCUAUUCCUGCUACAACUUUUAUGUCGCGCAAACGAGCUUCUGCUUCUUCCUUGGAGUUGGAUACUAGGAGCAAGAUUUUCUUGGCUUCCCCUAAACGUCCUUGCAUUACUAACCACCUUGGAGACUCUGGCAUUUGUGUGAUGCCAAAGGCUAAGAUAAUUGAAGGUAUAGCUGCAAUUCCAAGCAUCAACCUCCAGCCAAGUUUCAGAGUCAACUUCCCAAAAAUUACGUUUGAAAUGUAGCCAAAUAAAAUGCCAAUACUUAUACCAAGCUCAGGCAGGGAGGUCAAGAAACCUCUGGAUGAUGGUGAUGAAACCUCUGCAGAGUAAACCGGAGCGAUCAUAAGAGCAAAGCCUACACCAAUGCCUGCGGUGCAUCUUCCGGCCAUUAGGAUUCCAUAAUUUGGACCGUAUCCCAUCAGAACUGAACCAGUCAUGAAAAUAAGGCAGGCUACAACAAUUGUGUAUCGCCUACCAAUGUAAUCGGAAGUUCUCCCGGCGAGAAGCGAACCCACAAGAGCACAUAUAUUCAAGAUUCCGGCAAGGACUUCCACUUGUGUAUCAUGGAUUUUCAGGUCGUCUUUUAUGAAUAUCAUGGCUCCACUCAUUACACCAGUAUCAUAACCAAAUAUGAUGGAUAUCAUUGAAGCAACUAUAGCGCAUGCAGCUGCAUACUUGUUAAAUUUUGGUUGGAUUUCUCCACCACCACCACCUCGUCCUUCCAUAGAAGCCAUGAUAAUUUUCUGUGCCUGUGAAAGUUAUCCUUCAAAACUAGUAACUCUAUUAUGGAUGAGACAACAGAAACACAAAGCUCUCAACUAUAUCAUAUAAUUUCAUAACUCUACUACCCUUUUGGUACUUUUGACAAAUUUUUCUUGCUCUUGAAUUUGAUAAUUU